GCGUUAACGAACGAGACCUUAACCUGCUAAAUAGUGACCAGGACCUCUAGGACGGAUGAGGUUAUGUACCGGUGCGGCCAUUGGUCGUUACCUGUGCAUGCCUCUCCGUUCGUCCUGGGCGCACUUCUUAGAGGGACUGUCGGUGUUGCAACCGAAGGAAGUUUGAGGUAAUAACAGGUCUGUGAUGCCCUUAGAUGUCCUGGGCCGCACGCGCGCUACACUGACGGAGCCAGCGAGUUCAUUAACCUUGGCCGAAAGGCCUGGGUACUCUUGUUAACCUCCGUCGUGCUGGGGAUAGUCCUUUGCAAUUGUCGGACUUCAACGAGGAAUUCCUAGUAAUCGUGAUUCAUCAGAUCGCGGUGAUUACGUCCCUGCCCUUUGUACACACCGCCCGUCGCUAAUACCGAUUGAAUGGUUA
rnacentral:rRNA from 1 species